CCAAGGAGUCUAACAUGUGCGCGAGUCAUUGGGACUUUGAAAUAAGCCUAAAGGCGCAAUGAAAGUGAAGGUCAUCCCUAGCGUUGACCGAGGGAGGAUGGUUCGCGUCACGAUGCGAGCCCGCACUCCCGGGGCGUCUCGUGCUCAUUGCGAGCAGAGGCGCACCUAGAGCGUACACGUUGGGACCCGAAAGAUGGUGAACUAUGCCUGGUCAGGACGAAGUCAGGGGAAACCCUGAUGGAGGUCCGUAGCGAUUCUGACGUGCAAAUCGAUCGUCGGAACUGGGUAUAGGGGCGAAAGACUAAUCGAACCAUC
rnacentral:rRNA from 1 species